rnacentral:rRNA from 1 species
UGCCAGACUCCUACGGGAGGCAGCAGUGAGGAAUAUUGGUCAAUGGGCGGGAGCCUGAACCAGCCAAGCCGCGUGAAGGAAGAAGGCGCCAGGCGUCGUAAACUUCUUUUGUCGGGGAACAAAGGGCGCCACGCGUGGCGUUGUGAGUGUACCCGAAGAAAAAGCAUCGGCUAACUCCGUGCCAGCAGCCGCGGUAAUACGGAGGAUGCGAGCGUUAUCCGGAUUUAUUGGGUUUAAAGGGUGCGUAGGCGGACAGUCAAGUCAGCGGUAAAAAUGCGGUGCUCAACGCCGUACAGCCGUUGAAACUGGCAGUCUUGAGUGGGCGAGAAGUAUGCGGAAUGCGUGGUGUAGCGGUGAAAUGCAUAGAUAUCACGCAGAACUCCGAUUGCGAAGGCAGCAUACCGGCGCCCGACUGACGCUGAGGCACGAAAGCGUGGGUAUCGAACAGGAUUAGAUACCCGUGUA